UAUUUACCACAAACAAACAAAAAUGCUACAGUUCCGAAAACUUUUCAGUUUUCGGAACUAAACAAGGCCUCAGUGGAGGUGUUGACUGCAAAAAGCUACUGACAAGUGCAGUGAACACUUGAACUCCACCAUUGAAGUCGACAAGAGGUAGUGGCGAGGCUAGCCGGCUACUGAGUAGUGAGUACUGACCAACUGACCCAUGAGGGUAAGGCUGCGCCUAGAUUUGGAGAGCUGGAGGAGUUUGAGUUUGUGAUUUUCAUGUGUCCAAAGAAAAAGAUUGCUAGUACAUGCAUCCGUGGCGUUCAACGGUGGUUUGGGCCGGAAAAGAACAGUUCGAUACAUGUUUUCCUUUCGACGCCACUGGCUUUGCAUUGGUCUCCCUUUAAAACUAGGUUCAGUACGUAGGUGUGUGCUCCUGAGUCCUGACAGUGGAGUAGCUGAAGCUCUCGGUCUCCGUCAUCUUCAUUUCUAAUUUUGAUCAUGCUACAUUUGGGGUGAAGUUUUUAGAAAGCGUCGUCGCGACUGGUCGUUAACAUCUUCUUCCCUCUACUCAGUGUUCGCGGGUCUCCAUCGACGGUCCGCUUCAUCGUCACCGCUCCCUCUACCCCGUUGUAAGAAUAUCUAUACUUUCUUUGUUGCUCGUUAUUCCGUUCCUUGUUACUAGCACUAGAGAAUUUAAGUUUGCCUCGGAUCAUAGUUCUAGUGUUAAAUCAUACACCUUUAAUAUAUGUUGUUUCCCUUUUCCUCAAUUUCGGAAUCAACUUAUGCGUCACUAAAUUGCUAUUA